GUCGACGAACGCGAAACAGCGUCCCCGUGUCCCCGUUGUGCUGUUUCUCAACUCGUGAUGGUUUUCCGAAUAUUCCGCGUCAUACUCAGUAGUUCGCAGUAAUCACAUAUUCGUGCAUCCCUUUGAAAGGUUAACGUUACAAAUUUCAACUCAUUAUACUGCCAUUCGUAUAAUUAACAUACAAUGGAGUUGGCUGAAUUUCAAUGGAACAAGAGAAUGUCGAACUACGUUAUCAGGAUGUCGAAGAUGAAUGGAGCAAGCUUAGGAUAUUCAUACCACUUACCGUCGGGAGGUUGGAACUUCAAGAUCAGAAAUGCACUUUCUCAAUUCAGCGAUAUCUUCAGCGAAUUCAACAAGUACAUCGCACCAGCCUACCACCAUGACCGUUGUGAAAGAUCAGUCCAAAUGCGAUUAUAUUCGAUGCACAAGCGUGAAUUUGUCAUGGUUUUCGUUGCAUUCUUCGCGUGUUUUGGACUCGCUGUAUUCAUUGGCCUAGCAGGUCCACCCAUAACUUCAACCACAGAGCAAAAGGCCCAUUUGAACGGCAGCGAAAUGGCCACAGGACCAUACAUUAUGCGGACACCUGCCCUUUCUACCUACAGCCAGCAGCUUUGGGUCAUCGCGAAAUUGUCCACCUCGAACGUUGACAAUGAAAAAUACGACGAGAGUUUUCAAGUCAGCGUCUCCGUCGACGGUCAAGCGUCAGAUCGCAAAGCUGUAUCCAUUUUGGCACCAGAGGCUGGCCACAACAGGACGAGGCAUCUCAAGUGUGAACGCCAAUCUUGCGAGGAGUUAGUUGUGGUGCACCUCGGUUUCCUUGACUAUCCGCAUUACAUCAUUACUGUGCGUUUCCAUGGCCUAGAAAGUUUUUAUCAGCGAUACAUCAUUCGUGACCUCACAUUUUAUUUCAAAAAUUACAAUCCGGCAUUCACGCAGAUUGAGAUAUGGUUCAGGUUGAUCUUUCUUCUGGCAACUUUCGUAGUAACGUGUUGGUUUGGUCAUUCACUGCGAAAAUAUCCUGUUCACGAUUGGUCCAUCGAACAGAAGUGGUUGUCCAUUCUCCUGCCACUCCUGAUUCUUUAUAACAAUCCACUUUUUCCAAUGACUUUUUUGGUGAAUUCUUGGGUACCUGGAAUGCUGGAUGCCAUACUGCAAACAACCUUUUUAUGUGCUAUUCUCAUGUUUUGGCUCUGUGUCUACCACGGUCUACGACAGAAUGAGAGGCGACUGGCCACAUUUUACCUACCCAAACUGGUAGUUGUUGGAAUGCUAUGGGGUGCAGCCCUAACUCUUGCCAUGUGGCUACGGUGCACCGAACUCGAAGACCCUACCUACAAUUACGUCCUAGAUACUUCAAAUUAUUACGGGUUCAAGGUAUUCUUCUUCACAGUUGGAGGAGUUUAUGUGGCAUAUCUUCUUUUGUUGAUACUGCGAGCGUACAGCGAAUUGCGCUCGAUGCCUUAUUUCGGUAACACACGAUAAUAAUGUUUACGUAUUUUUUAACUGACGAGGAGAGCAUCAGACUUCUGGAUCAUAGAUUGUGGUGAAAUUUCCGAGGUUGUUUCCUAGGCCUAGAAUAUGAAGCCUGUGAUAGUUAGUUUGAUAUAACCGGCCUCUUUUCACGGAUUCAUUUACAAUUAAUUACAUAGGCAGUUUUAUGUAUAAAAUGCGAAUAACAUUAAAGUAAUUUAAUAAUGUUCGUGAAUCUGAUCUAUUGUAAAUCAAACGAAGGAAGGCCCAUUGAAUGAAACUUAUACUCAUCAAAAACUUUAUAGGACGUUCGAUUUCAAAGAGCGAGGAAUGUCUGACCAUUUUCGUCAAAAUAGGAUACCCUGUAUAUUUUAGGCCAAAGAAACACCGCCAGAAGUUGCAGCAGAAACCAUGAUCUGGAUACUUGAUUGAUACUUUCCUCAUUUAAGGUUGCGUUUUCUCACGCUUUUGGCUGGCGUUGUUGCCGGCGUUUGCACUUUGGUAACAACACGACAUUUUGGAACUGGCGUGUUUGAGGACAGCUUCGCUUCCCGACUGUCGACGUAUUACAGAACUUCAGCUCA
rnacentral:misc_RNA from 1 species